UCCAGUGAGUACUCCAUCAAAGGCAUACUGUAGGCCUGGCAUGUCUUGUCUACUAGCUUCAAUAUGAAUCCGAUUAAAUGUGAUAGGGUGAAAGCCCCAGUGCAGCAGCAACAGCACAUGAUGGAGACGAUGAUGAGGAGGAGACCAUCUCUCUGGAUUCCAGAAGGCAUGAGGACCCAGAUGCUAUACAGUGGGAAAACCAGCCUGGCAACAUAAGCUCACAAGCUAUCAGAAAGUUGUAUGGCAACCACCUCCGGCGCCAAAUAGAACUGGCAGACAUAGACAUUCAGUACAAGAAGAAAAAGAAGGAAAAUCUUGCACUGGAGUCCGAAAUAAAAAAAGAGGACAAUUAGGAAACUGGACCUUGAAAUAAAAAAACUUGAGAGGGAGCUCCAAGAAGAUGACACAGCUCAAAAUAAAAAUUAGCAAUCAGUACAACCAAGUCAUCGUUAUAAGGCACCGGCCUCUUUUGCCCACCCCCCCAGCACCAGGUGUGGCCAUUAGCCUAUAUGAAGGCCCAAAAUUGUGUGUUCCUUUCUGCUCUGACAAUGGCAUG